AUUGAACGCUGGCGGCAGGCCUAACACAUGCAAGUCGAGCGGAUGAAGGGAGCUUGCUCCUGGAUUCAGCGGCGGACGGGUGAGUAAUGCCUAGGAAUCUGCCUGGUAGUGGGGGAUAACGUCCGGAAACGGGCGCUAAUACCGCAUACGUCCUGAGGGAGAAAGUGGGGGAUCUUCGGACCUCACGCUAUCAGAUGAGCCUAGGUCGGAUUAGCUAGUUGGUGGGGUAAAGGCCCACCAAGGCGACGAUCCGUAACUGGUCUGAGAGGAUGAUCAGUCACACUGGAACUGAGACACGGUCCAGACUCCUACGGGAGGCAGCAGUGGGGAAUAUUGGACAAUGGGCGAAAGCCUGAUCCAGCCAUGCCGCGUGUGUGAAGAAGGUCUUCGGAUUGUAAAGCACUUUAAGUUGGGAGGAAGGGCAGUAAGUUAAUACCUUGCUGUUUUGACGUUACCAACAGAAUAAGCACCGGCUAACUUCGU
rnacentral:rRNA from 1 species